rnacentral:rRNA from 1 species
UACGGGGGGGGCAAGCGUUGUUCGGAAUUACUGGGCGUAAAGGGCUCGUAGGCGGCCAACUAAGUCGGACGUGAAAUCCCCAGGCUCAACCUGGGAACUGCGUCCGAUACUGGAUGGCUUGAAUCCGGGAGAGGGAUGCAGAAUUCCAGGUGUAGCGGUGAAAUGCGUAGAUAUCUGGAGGAAUACCGGUGGCGAAGGCGGCAUCCUGGACCGGCAUUGACGCUGAUGAGCGAAAGCCAGGGGAGCAAACGGG